rnacentral:misc_RNA from 1 species
GAUGAAGAACGUAGUGAAAUGCGAUAAGUAAUGUGAAUUGCAGAAUUCAGUGAAUCAUCGAAUCUUUGAACGCACAUUGCGCCCCCUGGUAUUCCGGGGGGCAUGCCUGUUCGAGCGUCAUUUCACCACUCAAGCCUCGCUUGGUAUUGGGCAACGCGGUCCGCCGCGUGCCUCAAAUCGACCGGCUGGGUCUUCUGUCCCCUAAGCGUUGUGGAAACUAUUCGCUAAAGGGUGUUCGGGAGGCUACGCCGUAAAACAACCCCAUUUCUAAGGUUGACCUCGGAUAAGGUAGGGAUACCCGCUGAACUUAAGCAUAUCAAUAAGCGGAGGA